AGUGUAUGCGUGGACGCAGUGGGUUCCGCCCCCCCUACGGGGGGGCUCCACUUCCGGAAGAUAUAACCUAACCCAAACCUAUUUCUGAUUUAAAACUAAAAUUUGGUUUGGGUUAGGUUAUAUCUUCCGGAAGUGGAGCCCCCCCGUAGGGGGGGCGGAACCCACUGCGUCCA
rnacentral:pre_miRNA from 1 species